rnacentral:rRNA from 1 species
CCUACGAGUAUACGUCGACGACGGUAGUUGUACUCCGUCGGCUACGAGGACGACGCUGGCGGCGUGCCUAACACAUGCAAGUCGAACGGUAGUUCGUUCCGUUCGGGACACUUAGUGGCGAACGGGUGAGUAACGCGUGAGGAACCUGCCUUUCAGUGGGGGACAACAGUUGGAAACGACUGCUAAUACCGCAUGAUACUUUUUGGGGGCAUCCCUGGAAAGUCAAAGAUUUAUUGCUGAAAGAUGGCCUCGCGUCUGAUUAGCUAGUUGGUGAGGUAACGGCUCACCAAGGCGACGAUCAGUAGCCGGUCUGAGAGGAUGAACGGCCACAUUGGGACUGAGAUACGGCCCAGACUCCUACGGGAGGCAGCAGUGGGGAAUAUUGGGCAAUGGGGGAAACCCUGACCCAGCAACGCCGCGUGAAGGAAGAAGGCCUUCGGGUUGUAAACUUCUUUUACCAGGGACGAAGAACGUGACGGUACCUGGAGAAAAAGCAACGGCUAACUACGUG